rnacentral:sRNA from 1 species
GAGCUUCGCGAAGGUCCGUCUCCUCCCAGGACCCGAGCGGAUAGAAGUCUGCGGACUCCUCCUCCCACCGCAGACUUUCCAAACGACACCCGCCGGUCCUCCCCCGGCGGGUGUUGUCG